rnacentral:rRNA from 1 species
CUUUCUUUGCUGGCGACCGGCGCACGGGUGAGUAACACGUAUCCAACCUGCCCUUUACUCGGGGAUAGCCUUUCGAAAGAAAGAUUAAUACCCGAUAGCAUAAUGAUUCCGCAUGGUUUCAUUAUUAAAGGAUUCCGGUAAAGGAUGGGGAUGCGUUCCAUUAGGUUGUUGGUGGGGUAACGGCCCACCAAGCCUUCGAUGGAUAGGGGUUCUGAGAGGAAGGUCCCCCACAUUGGAACUGAGGCACGGUCCAA